GAUGAACGCUGGCGGCGUGCUUAACACAUGCAAGUCGAACGAGAAAUGGAGACGGAAACCUUCGGGCGGAAGGCUUCAUUUCGAGUGGCGGACGGGUGAGUAACGCGUGGGUAACCUGCCUCAUACAGGGGGAUAACAGUUGGAAACGACUGUUAAUACCGCAUAAGACCACAGCACCGCAUGGUGCGGGGGUAAAAACUCCGGUGGUAUGAGAUGGACCCGCGUUCGAUUAGCCAGCUGGCGGGGUAACGGCCCACCAAAGCGACGAUCGAUAGCCGAUCUGAGAGGAUGACCGGCCACAUUGGGACUGAGACACGGCCCAAACUCCUACGGGAGGCAGCAGUGGGGAAUAUUGCACAAUGGGGGAAACCCUGAUGCAGCGACGCCGCGUGAGUGAAGAAGUACUUCGGUAUGUAAAGCUCUAUCAGCAGGGAAGAAAAUGACGGUACCUGAGUAAGAAGCCCCGGCUAACUACGUGCCAGCCGCCGCGGUAA
rnacentral:rRNA from 1 species